rnacentral:rRNA from 1 species
CCUACGGAGGGCAGCAGUGGGGAAUUUUGGACAAUGGGCGCAAGCCUGAUCCAGCCAUGCCGCGUGUCUGAAGAAGGCCUUCGGGUUGUAAAGGACUUUUGUUAGGGAAGAAAAAGGAGCGGUUAAUACCCGUUUCUGCUGACGGUACCUAAAGAAUAAGCACCGGCUAGCUACGUGCCAGCAGCCGCGGUAAUACGUAGGGUGCGAGCGUUAAUCGGAAUUACUGGGCGUAAAGCGAGCGCAGACGGUUACUUAAGCAGGAUGUGAAAUCCCCGGGCUCAACCUGGGAACUGCGUUCUGAACUGGGUAGCAAGAGUAUGUCAGAGGGGGGUAGAAUUCCACGUGUAGCAGUGAAAUGCGUAGAGAUGUGGAGGAAUACCGAUGGCGAAGGCAGCCCCCUGGGAUAAUAAUGACGUUCAUGCUCGAAAGCGUGGGUAGCAAACAGGAUUAGAUACCCGAGUAGUC